CUACGGGGGGCAGCAGUGGGGAAUAUUGCACAAUGGACGAAAGUCUGAUGCAGCAACGCCGCGUGGAGGAUGACACAUUUCGGUGCGUAAACUCCUUUUAUAUAAGAAGAUAAUGACGGUACUAUAUGAAUAAGCACCGGCUAACUCCGUGCCAGCAGCCGCGGUAAUACGGAGGGUGCAAGCGUUACUCGGAAUCACUGGGCGUAAAGAGCGUGUAGGCGGGUUAAUAAGUUGGAAGUGAAAUCCUAUGGCUCAACCAUAGAACUGCUUCCAAAACUGUUAACCUAGAAUAUGGGAGAGGUAGAUGGAAUUUCUGGUGUAGGGGUAAAAUCCGUAGAGAUCAGAAGGAAUACCGAUUGCGAAGGCGAUCUACUGGAACAUUAUUGACGCUGAGACGCGAAAGCGUGGGGAGCAAACAGGAUUAGAUACCCCGGUAGUC
rnacentral:rRNA from 1 species